rnacentral:rRNA from 1 species
UGGGGAAUAUUGCGCAAUGGACGAAAGUCUGACGCAGCGACGCCGCGUGAGGGAUGAAGGUUUUCGGAUCGUAAACCUCUGUCAGGAGGGAAGAAAGCGCAUGGCGCCAAUCAGUCAUGCGUUGACGGUACCUCCAAAGGAAGCGCCGGCUAACUCCGUGCCAGCAGCCGCGGUAAUACGGAGGGCGCGAGCGUUAAUCGGAAUUACUGGGCGUAAAGCGCGCGUAGGCUGUUGUGUAAGUUGGGGGUGAAAUCCCACGGCUCAACCGUGGAACAGCCCUUGAUACUGCACGACUUGAAUCCGGGAGAGGGUGGCGGAAUUCCAGGUGUAGGAGUGAAAUCCGUAGAUAUCUGGAGGAACAUCAGUGGCGAAGGCGGCCACCUGGACCGGUAUUGACGCUGAGGCGCGAAAGCGUGGGGAGCAAACAGG